UCAUGUGCUUAUUCUCUAUCAGAAAUUCACCUUAUCAAUAGAUUGUUGAAGAGGAAUGUGAUACUACCAGAUCUGACCAAAUAGGUUAGGACAAGGGAUUUUGCAGCAAUAAUCCUCUCACCAGAAUUGUCCCUAGCUCGAAUCUGCUGGAAGACCUAUAACAGGUAUAACCAUCCAUUAGUUAAUAUAUCCAUGACUUAAAAAAAAUGAAAAGUAAAAGUUUAACACAAAUGUAUAUGAAUUGCAAGACCAACCAAAGCGACAUGCAUGUUGCAACUACUAAAAAUCGAAGCCCUAUUUCUAGUAUCAUACUCUAAGUCCCUAAUACAAAUGGACGUCAUCUUAUCCUCCAGUAAACCUCGAAAGAACCCAAAAAAAGUUAAUCAGGAUUUGAUCAAACAGUGAGAGGCAACACAACAAUAUAUCUCAAUUAAGUGCCCGUUCGAGAAAAGAUAAAGAAAAUUACAGUAAAUCCUAUAUACUUUACAUCAAUUCCUUACCGGUUAAACUUUAAUGAAACUCUAUUCAGUGGUUGAACCUGUAUUUUUUUUUCUUUUUUUUUUAAUCCCAUUGGAGUUAAAGCUAUGAAGAUUUUGGUGCAAAAGUUCUUUACCUUUUGUGAUUGGAUAUUGUUGUGAAACUUGAACCUUACUCCAUAAAUUUGCUAAUUGAGUUUAGUGCUCGAAAAUUUUUUAAUAAAUGAGAAAAUAAAUAAAUACAUUUGCUCAUCAAUGAGGCAUACCACAUCAUUGGAUUAAGG
rnacentral:lncRNA from 1 species